GCAAUGGCCCUGCGCAGCAGGCAAGCGCCAACUCCGCCAGGUCUGGAAGGAAGCAACGGUACGCGCCUCUCCUGUGUGCCGCAGCAAGCCGUUGCCUG
rnacentral:SRP_RNA from 1 species